CCUCAUGCUAUAGGAGCGGCCGAUGUCUGAUUAGCUAGUUGGUGGGGUAAAGGCCCACCAAGGCGACGAUCAGUAGCUGGUCUGAGAGGACGAUCAGCCACACUGGGACUGAGACACGGCCCAGACUCCUACGGGAGGCAGCAGUGGGGAAUUUUGGACAAUGGGCGAAAGCCUGAUCCAGCAAUGCCGCGUGUGUGAAGAAGGCCUUCGGGUUGUAAAGCACUUUUGUCCGGAAAGAAAUGGCUCUGGUUAAUACCUGGGGUCGAUGACGGUACCGGAAGAAUAAGGACCGGCUAACUACGUGCCAGCAGCCGCGGUAAUACGUAGGGUCCAAGCGUUAAUCGGAAUUACUGGGCGUAAAGCGUGCGCAGGCGGUUGUGCAAGACCGAUGUGAAAUCCCCGAGCUUAACUUGGGAAUUGCAUUGGUGACUGCACGGCUAGAGUGUGUCAGAGGGGGGUAGAAUUCCACGUGUAGCAGUGAAAUGCGUAGAGAUGUGGAGGAAUACCGAUG
rnacentral:rRNA from 1 species